rnacentral:lncRNA from 1 species
AUAGGAAAGCUGGUUGGAAGCAGCUCAGUUCCAGUCAAAACGGUGUCCUCAGUUUAAAGUUGACAAAUAGUGCUGCAUGAAGCUUAGAAACUGAGAGGUUACCUUGACAGACAAGGAGCACAAUUAUCACAAUAUGAUGAAAGAGCUUCCAUGAGUAUGUAUUGCACCGUUAAUUACUGUCCUUUUUCUACAGGCUUCUAAUGUGAGGAAAAACACGGAAUGACAAGUGUGGGAAAGAGCAAGCACUAAAUUACUGUCAGAAAAAUAAACGGAGUAGCACAGUGGUGCUCAGUGAUUUACGGGGGCAAUUAGUCACCACCCCACGGCGCUGCUGAGGACAGCACGGCAGCAGACGAGUCAGGUCCACGAGGAAGAAGAGGCUUUGCACUGCUCUCCAGACAACUUUUCGAAGAACAAGAGAGGAUAUUUGAGCACAUUAGGUUGCCUGUCUUCAUUCUGGAAACAAGGUUUUGCCAAUGUUGCCCAGGCUGGUCAAACUCCUGAGCUCGAGCAAUCCGCCCGCCUUGGCCUCCCAAAGUGCUGGGAUUACAGGCAUGAGCCACCACACACAGCCUGCCUAUGUUUUCUUUAAAGUAGUCAAUUCACAACUC